CCUGUUGAUAGGCCGGGUGUGUAAGCGCAGCGAUGCGUUGAGCUAACCGGUACUAAUGAACCGUGAGGCUUAACCUUACAACGCCGAAG
rnacentral:rRNA from 1 species